CGAGCAAGCACAGUCAAUCGCGGGCGUAAAUACGAAAGUAUACGCAUGAGGAAAGUCCGGGCUCCAAAGGACAAAGGUGCCGGGUAACACCCGGUGAAGGUAACUUCAAGGAAAGUGCAACAGAAAAGAAAACCGCCGGUUCGCCGGUAAGGAUGAAAAGGCGAGGUAAGAGCUCACCGGCAUUAUGGAGACAUAAUGGCCUUGUAAACCCCAUCUGGAGCAACGUCGUGGGAAGUGUAACCGUGGUCCGCGGGCUUCAAGGAGACGGCUAGAGCUUGUCGGUAACGGCAAGAGUAGAUAGAUGAUUGUUAGUAACAGAACCCGGCUUAUUUGCUUGCUCGGUUA
rnacentral:RNase_P_RNA from 2 species